rnacentral:rRNA from 1 species
UGGGGAAUAUUGGACAAUGGGCGCAAGCCUGAUCCAGCCAUGCCGCGUGAGUGAUGAAGGCCCUAGGGUUGUAAAGCUCUUUCACCGGUGAAGAUAAUGACGGUAUCAUAGGAGGAAGCCCUGGCUAAAUACGUGCCAGCAGCCGCGGUAAUACGUAUGGGGCGAGCGUUGUCCGGAAUUAUUGGGCGUAAAGGGUACGUAGGCGGUUUUUUAAGUCAGGUGUCAAAGCGUGGAGCUUAACUCCAUUAAGCACUUGAAACUGAAAGACUUGAGUGAAGGAGAGGAAAGUGGAAUUCCUAGUGUAGCGGUGAAAUGCGUAGAUAUUAGGAGGAAUACCGGUGGCGAAGGCGACUUUCUGGACUUUUACUGACGCUCAGGUACGAAAGCGUGGGGAGCAAACAGG